GGCGAUCUGCAAGAUGUUUUAGGUUUGUGGCUUCUUUAAUGGCAUUCGCAGCGGCCUGACUUGCAGAAUCCUUCCGAAUAGGGCUGCGAGCGCCUGGAGCUCGGGCCUUAUUUGCAGGUGGAGUAGAUUGUCGCAAACUAUUAGGUUUGUUUCCAGGGUGGCUUUCAGAUUUUUUACCCUGUCUUGAAGCGUUCAACAUCUCUCCUUCAAAUGCAUCUACUGCCAACAAGUUAGCCACACCCUCCCUCUUGAAUGCAGGAACUGGUUGUGAAGAUUGAACUGUCUCAUUCUGACCUCUUAUUGAAGGAGAUGUUAAGUGUGACUUCCCUUUCUCAAGUACUUCAAUUUGCUGAGUUUUUUCAGAUGCAAGCUUCCUAGACGAUCUCCCAUCAUCUCGAUCAGUUAGAGCAGCCCGCCUUUUAUCCAGGCCGGAUAUAACAUCCAAUUUAACUUCAGCACCAUCAACAAAUUUCGAUUGAAUAACACCUUUUACAUUCUCAUUCAACAAUUCUCCAAAAGAAUCUCUCUUAUAACCUUGUUGUAAUCUGUCAGAAC
rnacentral:misc_RNA from 1 species